GACGUAGGGCGCGAGCGUUGUCCGGAUUUAUUGGGCGUAAAGAGCUCGUAGGCGGCUUGUCGCGUCGUCCGUGAAAACCUGCAGCUCAACUGCAGGCUUGCGGGCGAUACGGGCAGGCUAGAGUUCGGUAGGGGAGACUGGAAUUCCAGGUGUAGCGGUGAAAUGCGUAGAUAUCUGGAGGAACACCGGUGGCGAAGGCGGCAUCCUGGACCGGCAUUGACGCUGAGGAGCGAAAGCCAGGGGAGCAAACGGG
rnacentral:rRNA from 1 species